rnacentral:sRNA from 1 species
GAUAUGCCAUGGCCGUAUUUGUUUACACACAGAGUUGCAGAGAAAUCUUUUGUAAAUGGCAAUGCUUUCUCUCCUUUGAUUUGAUUUUUCUUCACUCACUCUCACUCUCUCUCCCUUUUUUUUUUUUGUUUCUUCAUUUUGGUUUUCUUUUUGAUGCGGACUCUUUCUACCACAAGCUUUGAUACUUUGAAAAGAAACUUCAAAUUGAUGAACCUCUAUUUUCUUUUUCACUGCGGAUAAAGUCAAAUCAUUGAUGAUAUGGCAUACGCUGCGUACAUACCAAGAGAGAAGCAUCCAUUCAUAGAUAAGGACGAUUAGGCAACUCAAUGUUAUCCAUGUCGACAACUCAAUAAGAUUAUAUAGAGAGAGAUACAGAGAAGCUGGACAACCGACCUCGAACUUAGAAGACCAAAAAUACACAUUAUGUUGUGCGAAUGAUAAGAGAUCUCAUGGGAACCUUGUAGACCAUUAUUCAUGAGAGUAUGAAUGAGAAUAACAAUUCCAGGCUCAAAGAGCAUACACUUCAUCAGUUUGCAACGGAAAAUAAUUACUCUGCAUGUGCAUGCCUGUUGGGCGAUUUUUAGAUGUAGCAUCGGAGGAAUUCACGAGCAGCAUCUACGAAUAUGGCAUAUCUUCAUAUCUGUAGAACGAAACAAGCCGAAGAUACUG